CUUUGUAUAUUACAUUUUUCUGUAAAAACUUAGCUUGCUUAUAUAUAUGGCUAUAGUUGGGAUAUAGAUAUGUUUUAUAUUUUUGGACUGCUGUGAUUUGAAAAACUAUAAGGAAUCUGCAGGUCUUUGACGAAAGAAGUUUAGUGUGAAAAUGCUGCGGCUGCAAUGAACGCUGAGCGUACCCUAGAGGCUGAAUAGCUGCCGAUCGCUGGCACAUACAGAAUUUCAUCCGCUAUCGCUUUUCCAGAGAAUUAUUUAUAUGUACAUAUAAAUUAGCUUUAAUAAAGAUAUCAGCAUA